ensembl:lncRNA
GUUAGGGCAUCAGUAAAAGUGCCCUGAUGCUGCUGGAAGGGACCUCAUCAGCAUGUCAGGGAAAUGUGUUCGGCAGAGUUUGUCAGUCCUGGCAUGGACAGAGCAAGCCAUGGGGUGAGAACAGCAAGGUCAGUUCCUCUUGGCCAUGGCAGCAGCUGCAGUACCUCUGGGCCACCCUGCAGGGCAGCGACAUCCUUCAGGCAGUGUCACAUCCAACUGGAGAGGAGCAGAGCCCUGGGCAGGGCUGGAUGGCUGCACCUCUGGCAAUGCGUGGCAGUGCUUUGCUGUUGUCAGUUCCCUUCAGGGAAGGCUCUGGGCUUGGAUUGAAGGGAGCUGCCAGGGAGCCCCACACAUGUGUUUGCAGAAGGACAUGGGGGUACAGUGGGCUCUCAGCCCCCCUCCCUCUCACCCUGCAUCCCCAGAGAGGCCUGGAUGAUGUGAGCACCCGGAGCUGCCAGGUUAUGUAUGUCUUCCUGCCUUGGUGAGACCCUGUGCUACCCCAAGGACCAUGUUUUCAUCUCCAUCUGCCGUAAGCUGCACGUUAGUGUCAUCCUCAUCAGUGCUGCGUGAGGGCUGUGGGCUGCUGGUUCGUGUUCUGCUGAUGCUGAGCGAACAUUCGAGCUGAUUAAAACUGGAAGUGGCGUCAGCUGGGGUAUUAAAAGCUCUUGAACAAGCCCAGAAACAACGUGCGUCAGUGCAGCGAGCUUGGAAGCGGUCAGACCAGGAUCUUCCUUCAGCUGCUUCAGGGAGGCAUGAGUAGCAGCAGCACUGCCCUGCUUGCUGAUGGAGCUGCAGCACAGGAGGAAUCUUCCAGGCAAUUCUUCACUCUGUUGCUCCUGCCCUGAUGUCCCAUUGCCUCCCACAAGACACAGAACAGCCUCUUUCUGAUUCCAGCUAAGUGCAGGGCGGCUGUGGUCUCUUCCUUUAAAAGUGGAUUCUGCAGGUUUAUUUACCAGGGACCCAUCAUCUCCAUUACGUGCAACGAGGGGCAGUGAAGAUAAGGGAAGGUGAAAAUACAAAAGAUCCUCGGUCUUCAGGAUCUCUGGCAAUGUGAAAUGUUUGGGUGUUAACUUUGUUUUGUUGGUGAGCGUUUUGUUGGUGUUUGGGGGGCACAGGAGGGCUGCAGGGGCACAGGCUGGGCACUUAUCGUGCUCACCAGACCAUUGAAUGAGAUCCAGAGCACAGAGCUGCCCUGCCCAGCCCUCCCCAUGUCCCCCUGCUCUGCAGUUGGACUUGAUAGGAGUUAAUAGACAGCUGUGGUCUGCUGCCACACAGGAUUGCUGAGCCCAGCUGGGCACAGGUUGGGGUUUAAAGCUAUUGCUUCCACUUAGGAAAUGGGUUUGCAGCUGGAAUGCAUUGCUUUAGAAGUGAGUCUUACGGACCAUGUGUUGCAAGCAGUAGAAUGUCUUUACAGCCAGGCAGCUUCUGGAUAGGUGCAUGCUGCCUGGACUAGAAACAGCUGGUGUUAGGUAUAGAGUAGCAUAAGCUGGAAAGGUGCUGGAGAGUCAGCACUGCCCUGCGAGGGGCAGACCCUUGUCUCCCUAAGCUGGGUGUCACUAGUGAUGUUUGUUAGGGACACAGAGCUAAUGGGGGAUGUGUAGGUACAUUUUGUCUGCAUACAAGAGAAACAGAAAACAAUCCACUACUCUGAGCCAUUUGAUGCCAAUCUUCGGUUGUGAGGAGUGGUGCUUGGGAGAGGAGGUUUGGUCUCAGUGGCUCAUAGGCUGGAUUCUAGCCUGCUUUAAAACACUUCUUCCUGCUAGAUAACUGUCUCAAUAAAGCAAAAGACAUUGUGGUCGCUUGGUUGCAGUCAUACAGCUCAGGUAAGGAGACUGGAACCUCAGGCCGAUCAGUUAACACUUAGUCUCCUUGCCUGUAUUGUAGUAACACUAACACUCUGGGGCUAUGCUGCUUGUCUUUAGACUUUGCUCACUGUAAAUGCAGUGUACGGCACCACCUCUUUUCCAACCUCUGGGGCCUGGACAAGCUAAAACGCUCCCUGCUGAGCUGACCUUGUCGGAACCAGUCUGGGGAGCAGCAUCACUGCCACUGUUCAGCCCCUGCAGCACCAGGGCUCAGGCAGAAGAGGGUCCCUUGGAUCCCACUGCCUCCCAGCUGUUGGCAUUGCCCCUCUCCUGGGCAGGGUUGGACGGCCCCACUCAUGCCCAGCAUUGCCCCAAGGGCCAUAGUGAGCUGAGAACUGAUCUCUCUUGUUCACAGUACAGUGCUAGUGUCCUACUCCAAACCUUUGUUCUUCCACCCAGUAGAGCUUUUGUUGCUUAUUGACUGUUACAACCCAUCCCUGGCAUGAACUGGUGCAUGCAGAAGGCUAUACCCUCCCAUCCUGCUCACGGGUUAAUCUUCUGGAAGGGCCCUUUGCUGGGAGAAGUGAGCUUCCCAGCAGGAGGUCUGCAUGCAGGACAUGGAGGUGGGAGGUGAGCACUGGGGAAGUGCCCCCUCCUGGCCCAUCGCAGGUUCAGGCCACCUUCAAACCACACAUCUUCACCUCAGCUUUUGCAUUUCAGAUGUGUUUGUAAAGCAGCUUGAUGUUAGCGAGCUAGACCGUAGUGCCUUACUUAGGAGUUAGCAAACACUUCUGAGGACGAGCCCUAGGCUGCUAGCCUUUGGCCAAUGUGGAUGUUUCCCUGUUAAUUUGCCCUUUUCAGAGCAUUUCUCCCUGAUGAUUUUGCUGCUGUUUGCGCUCGAUUUCCUGGACUGUAGAUGAAGCUGCCUUGUGUUUACAGCUCCUAGCACCUCUCCUCCAAUUGCUUUAGCCCAGACCAAACCUGUUCUGCGGAGCGAGGUGGCAGCGUCGGGUGUCUCUCCCCACCUGGAUCUGUCGAGCAUCUCCUGCAGGCUGAACCCUGCAGAGGGAGUUUUUGGCAUUGGGCUGCAUCGCUGGGAAUGUUCGAGCUUAGGAUAGCAACUCCAAGGCUGGGGCCAGGGCAACUCCAUCUCCUGGCUGCAGCAAAGCAUCCAGGUGUGGAGGGGGUUGCUGUUAUGGGGGAAGCCGAGUGCCCUCCCGCCGCCCUUUGGGCUUUGUGGGGUCCAGGCUGAGCCCAGCGCUGGGGGUGAUUGUAUGAAAUUGUUUACUUCUGACUGCUGUUUACAAGAGGGAGGUGGGGUGGGGGGGGGGGGUGGGGAACAAGCCAAGCCUCAGGAGGAUUGGGAAACGCAUUAUCUGCACCAGCCUGCAGCAGGGCCGGCUGUCAGCACCACGUGGGUGUGCUGGACUCUGCAGGCAGCGUCGGUCCGUGGAGAGGAGAGCAGAGGGGUUAGGUAAGCUCCCCUGUGCUGCUGUGUUUGAGGCUCAACGGUGCUAGUGACAGAUAAGAGUUACCCCUGUGGUCUUCCUUUACUCCUCAGGACCCAGCUCCUUCACAUAUCAGAGGCUCCCAGAGCCUUUCUGGAGCAAUAAGAUUUAAAACAAGCAUUUACCAUCGUCGUGGAAAUCCUCCGUUGUGUGCGUCGUACGUCUCCUCUGUAUGCAGUACUGAGGCUGGGUUUAAGCCUGCUGAAUGCCAUGGGAGGAACAUGAGCUGCUUGCUCCCUGCUGCAGUGUGACAAUGCCAUGUCCCACCUGAGGGGCAUGGGGACACCCGUUCCCCAUUGAGGGCAGAAGGCUUAAACCCAGACUCCAAAGUAAAGUUAAUGAUAUUAGUAAAUGAAUCUGUAUUACUUCCCUUUUUUUUUUGCACAGAAGCUGGUGAUUUAGGACCUACGUGUGAACAACUUGUAUACAUAUUUUUUGUACUUGGUUUACUCGGGUUGGUAUGAGUCGUUCUAUUUAAGUUUUGAACACUGUGGAUACCCUGAUGUGUAUGAGUGGCACAGGCUUUGUAAAUUAAGAGACGUUUGUGUGAAUAAAGCUGUUUGAUGGGGUUGAAAAGCCACACCAUUCG